ACUGCUGUGGAGGUCAAGCUUCCCAACCUUCACAGCCUCAAAUCUUUAAAGCUCCAGUGGGCCCUCAAAUGUCCAAUACAGAGGCCACACUGUGCUUCAGUGCUUCUGGACUGCUCAGAGUGAUCAGAGGACAGGAGGUGCUCAGAAGAAAGCUGAGGUGGUUGUGUGGGAGGUGAGCAAGCUUCCAGGAGAUCUAUUUGCGUAACAGAGGGCAGAACAUGCAAGGACACCGUACAAACCCAGCAAGAGAGAGAUGGAAACAGCGAGAAACACUCACAAACGAGGCAGCCACACAGGAAGAAUGAGAGAAUGAGAGAGCCCACGCUCAGAAGCCUCCGUUCUCAUGGCCGCCUGACAUUUCUGAAUCGGUCUCGUGGGGAAACCGCAGAAAGCAAGACUUCAGCAGAGUGUGUGAGACUGAGCACCCCGUAUCAGAACCGUGCUGGGAGCAUGCAGGCCUGGGUAAGACCACCAGACUACAGCGUGCACUACUCUUGCACAGGCUCCCUAAACUUGCAGCACUGUGCUUAACAAUGGAGAUGGCACACUGCUGUUGCGACGGUACAAACUGACAGCAGUUUUGACCACAUUUAAGGUCAACCCUUUAAAACCUCAAGGCGGUCAAGUUUACAUAACCUUUUAAGUGGCUUGGGAGUGUUCACGGGUUACUUUGGUUUCCGGGAGAGCGAAAAAAAAAAAAACACAUGCAAAUUGCCACGAUCUUUUUGACGCUCGUGUUUGAUGCAGAGAAAAGAUGCAGGCUUCGCUGCCCUUCUUGAGCACUGCGCGGAACAGACAGAAGCAAAGCUGUCAUAAAUAAGGAGAUUUCUCUUCAAAUAAACUAUUAAACUAAAAACGGGCUCGGUGGAGAUGCUGUCGUGCCAUUUAGAUUACAGAAAAUUAUUAUUUGUUUCCUGUUUGAAACAGGCGACAUGACACAAGCAUGAUGUUCCGGUCCCAGCCUUUUUUUUCAGUGUAAGAAAACAGUACGUUAAAUGUAACAGGGAUUAAAACAAAGCAGUAUAGAUGCACUGGAUUAGCGAAACUCCAAUCUGAUCGUCUGCCGACCUCAGAGGUGAGUGCCUUAACACAGAUAGUGUGAAAUUAUGGCCUCCCUCUUUAGUGGAAUUAUGAACCAGUGUCUCACUGUUAGUUUGGUGAGACAACUAGUCUGUUACCUGUUAUCUGUUACGAGUCUGUUGAUUUAAUACAGAACACCAAAAGCGAAAUUAACAUUUUGUUUGGAAUAAUGUUUGACUAUAGCCAUGCUGGUAAAUCUUAAAUAUCGUUCCGCAUGUAUCAGAAUGGUUAGCCAAAAUGAAUUAGGCAAUAGGUAUUUUUUUCUACUCUGCUUUACGACUCAAAGUGGAUAUUUGAGUCGAAUACAUCUCUUAUCACAUUCACAUUUCAGAUGUGUUGUUGAUUUUAAUGUAAACA